rnacentral:rRNA from 1 species
UACGGGGGGGGCAAGCGUUGUUCGGAAUUACUGGGCGUAAAGGGCGCGUAGGCGGUUUGCUAAGUUGGACGUGAAAACUCUGGGCUUAACCCAGAGCCUGCAUCCAAAACUGGCAAGCUGGAGUAUUGGAGGGGGAAGCGGAAUUCCUGGUGUAGCAGUGAAAUGCGUAGAUAUCAGGAGGAACACCGGUGGUGAAGGCGGCUUCCUGGACAAUAACUGACGCUGAGGCGCGAAAGCUAGGGGAGCAAACAGG